rnacentral:lncRNA from 1 species
AAAGGGGCACAAGAUUCUUUUCCAAGACGGAGUCUGCACGAUUCGGAGCAAGAACAACAAGUUAAUCACGCAGGUAGAAAUGGCCAAAAACCGAAUGUUCGCUCUUACUCUUAAUACGAAGGGAGUAAUGAAUUUUCAAGCUGUGGCAAUGGAUAGCAAUUGGCUAUGGCAUCUUCGGUUUGGUCACUUAAACUUCGGAG